AUCACCACAGAGCCAAGUAAUAGACUGAAUGAAUGAAUGACCCUUCAGCUUAAGUAGGCCAGUACUCCAUGUUUCCCUGCUAAUUAUUCAAGUUUAGGACAUGAUGCCCCAUUUCAUGCAAAAUUUAGCAGAAUAUAUCAGGAAAAUGAGCCCUACAACAUGAAGCUCCUACAGCAGUAGUGGAAGGCUUAGCGUGGUCAUUAAGGUCUAGUUUACCCAUCUUCUCUCUGAAUGCUGCAGAUCAACACCCACUACUGCAGGUCAACCCACACUCCCUGCCCUCACACACCAAACCAACCCAUCUUGUACGCAUCUUCAAAUGGUGUGACAGCUUUGUGGCCCGUUGGUUAGGCUGAACUACAUUUCCCAGAAUCCCCUUCUCUCGCAUGUUUCCUGUUAACCGUGGUAUUCUCCCAGGAGAGCUGGAAGGCAAAAGGGAGCCAGCAACUAUUUUGUCACACAUACAUUGUUGCCAAUCUGCCGACUUGCCUCUGUGACAUGAAACAAUUGCUCUCUUCUCCCUCGGAAUUUUCCCUCCAUUUCUCUGGCUCCUGGGCCAGGUAUGUGUGUGCUCAGCUCAUGAGGAAGGACUCCGGCUCCUGCAGGAAACCCUCAUCACCAAGAUCACCUGCCUGGGGACUUCAAGCUCUAGCAUCAGACUAAGAGCCAGCCCUGUGGAGACUGCUUAGCCAAGGCUCCGGAGGAUUCCACUGCAGUCUUUGCAGCCACAGGAUGGACAGACCACUUCUCGAAUUAGAAAUGAGACUGCUCUGCCCCUUCAGAAUUGUGGCUAAUCCAUUCAGGUACCUUUCCCAGUCCAGCCUAAGAGACCAGGUUAGCCCUCCCUAGCUACCUCUCCCUCCCC
rnacentral:lncRNA from 1 species